rnacentral:rRNA from 1 species
AGUGAACGCUGGCGGUAGGCCUAACACAUGCAAGUCGAACGGCAGCACAGUAAGAGCUUGCUCUUACGGGUGGCGAGUGGCGGACGGGUGAGGAAUACAUCGGAAUCUACUUUUUCGUGGGGGAUAACGUAGGGAAACUUACGCUAAUACCGCAUACGACCUACGGGUGAAAGCAGGGGAUCUUCGGACCUUGCGCGAUUGAAUGACCCGAUGUCGGAUUAGCUAGUUGGCGGGGUAAAGGCCCACCAAGGCGACGACCCGUAGCUGGUCUGAGAGGAUGAUCAGCCACACUGGAACUGAGACACGGUCCAGACUCCUACGGGAGGCAGCAGUGGGGAAUAUUGGACAAUGGGCGCAAGCCUGAUCCAGCCAUACCGCGUGGGUGAAGAAGGCCUUCGGGUUGUAAAGCCCUUUUGUUGGGAAAGAAAAGCAGCAGGUUAAUACCCCGCUGUUCUGACGGUACCCAAAGAAUAAGCACCGGCUAACUUCGUG